AAAUUGAAGAGUUUGAUCAUGGCUCAGAUUGAACGCUGGCGGCAGGCCUAACACAUGCAAGUCGAACGGUAACAGGAAGCAGCUUGCUGCUUUGCUGACGAGUGGCGGACGGGUGAGUAAUGUCUGGGAAACUGCCUGAUGGAGGGGGAUAACUACUGGAAACGGUGGCUAAUACCGCAUAACGUCGCAAGACCAAAGAGGGGGACCUUCGGGCCUCUUGCCAUCAGAUGUGCCCAGAUGGGAUUAGCUWGUUGGUGAGGUAACGGCUCACCAAGGCGACGAUCCCUAGCUGGUCUGAGAGGAUGACCAGCCACACUGGAACUGAGACACGGUCCAGACUCCUACGGGAGGCAGCAGUGGGGAAUAUUGCACAAUGGGCGCAAGCCUGAUGCAGCCAUGCCGCGUGUAUGAAGAAGGCCUUCGGGUUGUAAAGUACUUUCAGCGGGGAGGAAGGUGUUGUGGUUAAUAACCGCAGCAAUUGACGUUACCCGCAGAAGAAGCACCGGCUAACUCCGUGCCAGCAGCCGCGGUAAUACGGAGGGUGCAAGCGUUAAUCGGAAUUACUGGGCGUAAAGCGCACGCAGGCGGUCUGUCAAGUCGGAUGUGAAAUCCCCGGGCUCAACCUGGGAACUGCAUUCGAAACUGGCAGGCUUGAGUCUUGUAGAGGGGGGUAGAAUUCCAGGUGUAGCGGUGAAAUGCGUAGAGAUCUGGAGGAAUACCGGUGGCGAAGGCGGCCCCCUGGACAAAGACUGACGCUCAGGUGCGAAAGCGUGGGGAGCAAACAGGAUUAGAUACCCUGGUAGUCCACGCCGUAAACGAUGUCUACUUGGAGGUUGUGCCCUUGAGGCGUGGCUUCCGGAGCUAACGCGUUAAGUAGACCGCCUGGGGAGUACGGCCGCAAGGUUAAAACUCAAAUGAAUUGACGGGGGCCCGCACAAGCGGUGGAGCAUGUGGUUUAAUUCGAUGCAACGCGAAGAACCUUACCUGGUCUUGACAUCCACAGAAGAAUCCAGAGAUGGAUUUGUGCCUUCGGGAACUGUGAGACAGGUGCUGCAUGGCUGUCGUCAGCUCGUGUUGUGAAAUGUUGGGUUAAGUCCCGCAACGAGCGCAACCCUUAUCCUUUGUUGCCAGCGGUYCGGCCGGGAACUCAAAGGAGACUGCCAGUGAUAAACUGGAGGAAGGUGGGGAUGACGUCAAGUCAUCAUGGCCCUUACGACCAGGGCUACACACGUGCUACAAUGGCGCAUACAAAGAGAAGCGACCUCGCGAGAGCAAGCGGACCUCAUAAAGUGCGUCGUAGUCCGGAUUGGAGUCUGCAACUCGACUCCAUGAAGUCGGAAUCGCUAGUAAUCGUGGAUCAGAAUGCCACGGUGAAUACGUUCCCGGGCCUUGUACACACCGCCCGUCACACCAUGGGAGUGGGUUGCAAAAGAAGUAGGUAGCUUAACCUUCGGGAGGGCGCUUACCACUUUGUGAUUCAUGACUGGGGUGAAGUCGUAACAAGGUAACCGUAGGGGAACCUGCGGUUGGAUCACCUCCUUACCU
rnacentral:rRNA from 1 species